rnacentral:rRNA from 1 species
AGUGAACGCUGGCGGCGUGCUUAACACAUGCAAGUCGAACGAGAACGGAUUAUAGCUUGCUAUAAUUGUCAGCUAAGUGGCGCACGGGUGAGUAAUGUAUAGAUAACCUGCCCUCUAGAAAGGAAUAACAGUUGGAAACGACUGCUAAUGCCCUAUAUGCCUUUAAUACAUAAGUAUGCAAGGGAAACGCUUUAGUGCUAGAGGAUGGGUCUGUAUGGUAUCAGUUAGUUGGUGAGGUAAUGGCUCACCAAGACUAUGACGCCUAACUGGUUUGAGAGGAUGAUCAGUCACACUGGAACUGAGACACGGUCCAGACUCCUACGGGAGGCAGCAGUGGGGAAUAUUGCACAAUGGACGAAAGUCCGAUGCAGCAACGCCGCGUGGAGGAUGACACAUUUCGGUGCGUAAACUCCUUUUAUAUAGGAAGAUAAUGACGGUACUAUAUGAAUAAGCACCGGCUAACUCCGUGCCAG